UAAAUAAUCCUACCUUUGUGAAUUUUGUUUGUUUGAAUAAUUUUUUUUUUUAAAAAAUUAUUGGAGUCUUUCCCUUUAGAGUUGCUUUUGAGUUUGUAAAAGAAUUCGAAAACAUCUAAAGGGGAUGGUCAAUAAUUUUUUUUGAAAAAGACAUUUUUAAAAUUAAACUUUUGUAUUCAUUUGUCUAAAAAUUAUUUUUAUAAUAUAAAAACAACUUUUGACAAUGGAUCUCUUGGUUCUCGCAACGAUGAAGAACGCAGCAAAAUGCGAUAAGUAGUGUGAAUUGCAGAAUACGUGAAUCAUCGAAUCUUUGAACGCAUAUUGCACUUUUUAGUUUACUAAAAAAGUAUGUCUGUUUGAGUAUCAGUAAAAUAUUCUCAUAAAAAUCAUUGUAUUUUUAUGGUUAUGAGUGUUUUACAACGAUACAAGUUGUUUCACUUUAAAUUUUUUUUUAAUAUUGAAAUUUUUCUAAUUUUAAUAAUUAAAAUUGGAUAAAAUUUUCCCGUCAAAGGAAUAACCUAAACAAUUUUUAAACGAUUAAUUUUAGCAAAAUUUUCGUAAAAAAGGAAAAUUUUUAUUAAAAUAACUUGAUCUCAAAUCAGAUAAGAGUACCCGCUGAACUUAAGCAUAUCAAUAAGCGGAGGAAAAGAAACUAACAAGGAUUCCCUUAGUAACGGCGAGUGAAGCGGGAAGAGCUCAAAUUUGAAAUCUUCAAGGUUUUACCUUGACGAAUUGUAGUUUAAAGAAGUGUUUUCUGCUGAAGUUUUGGUAAAAGUUCUUUGGAAUAGGACAUCAUAGAGGGUGAGAAUCCCGUAUUUGACCAUUAUUUUCAGCUUUGUGAUACACUUUCAAAGAGUCGGAUCGUUUGGGAAUGCAGUCCAAAAUGGGUGGUAAAUUUCAUCUAAAGCUAAAUAUUGGCGAGAGACCGAUAGCGAACAAGUACCGUGAGGGAAAGAUGAAAAGAACUUUGAAAAGAGAGUUAAACAGUACGUGAAAUUGUCAAAAGGGAAGCGUUUGACACCAGUGUUGUUUUCUCGAAAAUCAAUUAAAAAUGGCUCGAUUUUGUAUUGCUGAGACCUUAAAAGCUCACUGUACAUUUUUCGUGUCUUUUUUAAUGCACUUUUCGUUUAACAAGUCAACAUCAGUUUCUUUUGUUGUAAAAGGGUCAUUGGAAGGUGGCUUUCUUUUCGGAGAAAGUGUUUAUGGCCUUUGGCCUCUGCAAUCGGAGAGACUGAGGUCUGCAGCGUAGACUCUUCGGGGUUAGAUACAUUUGUGCUAAGUUAUAGCUUUUUAUAGACAACUUGUUGACUAUAAUUAGUCUUGUAGCUUACUCGCUUAUGCUAUUUUACCUACGCUUAGGAUG
rnacentral:misc_RNA from 1 species